UUGAACGCUGGCGGCAUGCUUUACACAUGCAAGUCGAACGGCGGCGGGGGCUUCGGCCUGCCGGCGAGUGGCGAACGGGUGAGUAAUGCAUCGGAACGUACCCAGUCGUGGGGGAUAACUACGCGAAAGCGUGGCUAAUACCGCAUACGCCCUGAGGGGGAAAGCGGGGGACCUUCGGGCCUCGCGCGAUUGGAGCGGCUGAUGUCGGAUUAGCUGGUUGGUGGGGUAAAGGCCUACCAAGGCGACGAUCCGUAGCUGGUCUGAGAGGAUGAUCAGCCACACUGGGACUGAGACACGGCCCAGACUCCUACGGGAGGCAGCAGUUGGGAAUUUUGUACAAUGGGCGCAAGCCUGAUCCAGCCAUGCCGCGUGAGUGAAGAAGGCCUUCGGGUUGUAAAACUCUUUCGGCAGGAACGAAACGGUGGUUCCUAAUAUUAGCCACUAAUGACGGUACCUGAAGCAGAAGCACCGGCUACCUACGU
rnacentral:rRNA from 1 species